CAAUAGCGUAUAUUAAAGCUGUUGCGGUUAAAAAGCUCGUAGUUGGAUUUCUGUCAAGGACAACUGGUCCGCCCUCCGGGUGAGCACAUAGUUUGGUCUUGACAUCUUGCUGGAAGCUGUUGCUGCACUUGGCUGUGUGGCGCAGUGUUCAGCACUUUCACUUUGAGGAAAUUGGAGUGUUUCAAGCAGGCACAUGCCUUUGGACACAGUAGCAUGGAAUAAUUAGAUUGGGCUUUUGCUCCAAUUUGUCGGUUUCUGGAGCUGAGGUGAGUAUUAAUGGGGAUUGUUGGGGGCAUCCGAAUUUAGCCGUCAGAGGUGAAAUUCUUAGAUCUGCUAAAGACGGACAACUGCGAAAGCGUUUGCCCAGGAUGUUUUCAUUGA
rnacentral:rRNA from 1 species